rnacentral:rRNA from 1 species
AUACGGAGGGUGCAAGCGUUGUCCGGAUUUAUUGGGUUUAAAGGGUGUGUAGGCGGUGUAUUAAGUCAGUGGUGAAAGCCUGCGGCUCAACCGUAGAACUGCCAUUGAUACUGACACACUUGCGUUUGGUUGAGGUAGGCGGAAUUUAUGGUGUAGCGGUGAAAUGCAUAGAUACCAUAAAGAACACCGAUAGCGAAGGCAGCUUACUAAGCCGAAACUGACGCUGAGGCACGAUAGCGUGGGAAGCGAACAGGAUUAGAUACCCUGGUAGUCC